GAGGAAUGAACGAGGCAGCCUCGUCUCGGCGUCUCAAUAUAUAGAAAAUAAUUCGUCGUAAACGCGACGUGAUAUUACGACGAAGUUACCAGGCCCGCGUUUUUCGUUUUAUGAUGAAAUUACGUCGAAACAUCGGUUUACGACGAAUUUACCAGGCCCGCGUUUACGACGAAUUUACCAGGCCCGCGUUUUUUCAUUUACGACGAAGUUACCAGGCCCGCGUUUUUCGAUUUACGACGAAAUUACGUCGAAACGUCGGUUUACAACGAAUUUACCAGGCCCGCAUUUACGACGAAGUUACCAAGCCCGCGUUUUUCCAUUUACGACGAAAUUACGUGGAAUAGAUAACCAUU
rnacentral:lncRNA from 1 species